rnacentral:rRNA from 1 species
CGAAAAAGGCUUUCGCCCCGCUUUAUAUAUAAAGCAACGAUCGACAUACAUGAUGCAAACCACCCGACACCACACACACACCCAAGGCAGAUACAAGGGAGCUGACGAACAACAACGCUACUCUAAACACCCCAAAGCAAACAACAAGUAGGCAGAAGAGCAUAGCUAAGGGUCUAAAGAGAUCUCCACCGUGAACGAGUCACCGCGAGGAG